GACGAACGCUGGCGGCGUGCUUAACACAUGCCAGUCGAACGGAAAGGCCCUGCUUUUGUGGGGUUCUCGAGUGGCGAACGGGUGAGUAACACGUGAGUAACCUGCCCUUGACUUUGGGAUAACUUCAGGAAACUGGGGCUAAUACCGGAUAGGAGCUCCUGCUGCACGGUGGGGGUUGGAAAGUUUCGGCGGUUGGGGAUGGACUCGCGGCUUAUCAGCUUGUUGGUGGGGUAGUGGCUUACCAAGGCUUUGACGGGUAGCCGGCCUGAGAGGGUGACCGGCCACAUUGGGACUGAGAUACGGCCCAGACUCCUACGGGAGGCAGCAGUGGGGAAUAUUGCACAAUGGGCGGAAGCCUGAUGCAGCAACGCCGCGUGCGGGAUGACGGCCUUCGGGUUGUAAACCGAUUUCGCCUGUGACGAAGCGUGAGUGACGGUAAUGGGUAAAGAAGCACCGGCUAACUACGUG
rnacentral:rRNA from 1 species